rnacentral:rRNA from 1 species
UAGGGAAUAUUGGGCAAUGGGUGAGAGCCUGACCCAGCCAUGCCGCGUGUCGGAAGACGGCCCUUAGGGUUGUAAACGACUUUUAUACAGGAACAAGAGCAAGGACGAGUUCCUUGUGUGCGGGUACUGUAGGAAUAAGCACCGGCUAACUCCGUGCCAGCAGCCGCGGUAAUACGGAGGGUGCAAGCGUUGUCCGGAUUUAUUGGGUUUAAAGGGUACGUAGGCGGAUGAUUAAGUCUGGGGUGAAAGGCCGUUGCUCAACGAUGGCACUGCCCUGGAUACUGAUGAUCUUGAGUGCCGUAGAGGUAGGCGGAAUUCAUGGUGUAGCGGUGAAAUGCAUAGAUACCAUGAGGAACACCGAUAGGGGAGCCAGCUUACUGGAGGGUUACUGACGCUGAGGUACGAAAGCGUGGGGAGCGAACAGGAUUAGAUACCCCCGUAGUCC